rnacentral:rRNA from 1 species
GACGAACGCUGGCGGCGUGCUUAACACAUGCAAGUCGAACGAAGUGGCGAACGGGUGAGUAACGCGUAAUCAACCUGCCCUUCAGAGGGGGACAAGAGUUGGAAACGACUGCUAAUACCGCAUACUGAAGGAGGGGAUUGCGUCUGAUUAGCUAGUUGGAGGGGUAACGGCCCACAAAGGCGAGGAUCAGUAGCCGGUCCGGGAGGGUGAACGGCCACAUUGGGACUGGGACACGGCCCAAACUCCUACGGGGAGCAGCAGGGGGGAAUCUUUCGAAAUGGACGAAAGUCUGACGGAGCAACGCCGGGUGAGUGAUGACGGCCUUCGGGUUGUAAAGCUCUGUUAAUCGGGACGCGGUACCGGAAUAGAAAGCCACGGCUAACUACGUGCCAGCAGCCGCGGUAAUUC